UAGGGAAUCUUCCGCAAUGGGCGAAAGCCUGACGGAGCAACGCCGCGUGAGUGAUGAAGGUCUUCGGAUCGUAAAACUCUGUUAUUAGGGAAGAACAAAUGUGUAAGUAACUAUGCACGUCUUGACGGUACCUAAUCAGAAAGCCACGGCUAACUACGUGCCAGCAGCCGCGGUAAUACGUAGGUGGCAAGCGUUAUCCGGAAUUAUUGGGCGUAAAGCGCGCGUAGGCGGUUUUUUAAGUCUGAUGUGAAAGCCCACGGCUCAACCGUGGAGGGUCAUUGGAAACUGGAAGACUUGAGUGCAGAAGAGGAAAGUGGAAUUCCAUGUGUAGCGGUGAAAUGCGCAGAGAUAUGGAGGAACACCAGUGGCGAAGGCGACUUUAUGGUCUGUAACUGACGCUGAUGUGCGAAAGCGUGGGGAUCAAACAGG
rnacentral:rRNA from 1 species